UACGAAGGGUGCAAGCGUUAAUCGGAAUUACUGGGCGUAAAGCGUGCGCAGGCGGUUUGUUAAGUCUGUCGUGAAAUCCCCGGGCUCAACCUGGGAAUGGCGAUGGAUACUGGGCAGCUAGAGUGUGUCAGAGGAUGGUGGAAUUCCCGGUGUAGCGGUGAAAUGCGUAGAGAUCGGGAGGAACAUCAGUGGCGAAGGCGGCCAUCUGGGACAACACUGACGCUGAAGCACGAAAGCGUGGGGAGCAAACAGG
rnacentral:rRNA from 1 species